GAUGAACGCUGACAGAAUGCUUAACACAUGCAAGUCUUUGGCGAAGCUGUGCUUGCACAGCCUAGCCAAGGCGGACGGGUGAGUAACGCGUAAGGAACUUGCCCUGCAGUCAGGGAUAACAGACGGAAACGACUGAUAAGACCUGGUAAAGUCAGGCGGACUCAUGUCCAGCCUGAUGAAAAGAGAUGCUGCAGGAGAGCCUUGCGUCCUAUUAGCUUGUUGGUGGGGUAACGGCCCACCAAGGCGAUGAUAGGUAGCCGGCCUGAGAGGGUGGACGGCCACAAGGGGACUGAGAUACGGCCCUUACACCUACGGGAGGCAGCAGUGGGGAAUAUUGGACAAUGGGGGCAACCCUGAUCCAGCAAUUCUGUGUGCACGAUGAAGGUUUUCGGAUUGUAAAGUGCUUUCAGCAGGGAAGAAAAAAAUGACGGUACCUGCAGAAGAAGCGACGGCUAAAUACGUG
rnacentral:rRNA from 1 species